GGGCGCGCCGUCCCAGCCUGUGGGGCCCGCGGCGUCGCCAGAGCCAGCGGCAGGCGCCCGGCUGCGCGCGAGGUGAGGGAGGAAACCAGACUUGGGAGUCCAAGAAGGACAUAUGCGAGCAGAGUGGCGCAUCUGCUGUUUCUGUAACUAUGGCCCCAAGGACUUGAUCCUUGCAACAGAGAUUGGGAGAUCCAUCUAUGGAAAGUCUGACCAGCCCAAAGAAAGGAAGAAGACAAACCAACAGAAAAACCAACUCGCAUUGGAGACAUCUGCUUGUGAGACAAAGGUGUCUAUGAAACUAUGGAUGGUACAAGAACUUCACAUGAUAUCAAACAGUACCCUGAUACUGAGGCUAUUAAAGAAGCAUUUGGAUACUUUUCUUAAAGGCGAGAGUGGACUGAGGGUAUUUUUUCCUCUUUGUGGAAAAGCAGUUGAGAUGAAAUGGUUUGCAGACCGAGGACACAGUGUAGUUGGUGUAGAAAUCAGUGAACUUGCAAUACGGGAAUUUUUUACAGAGCACAAUCUUUCUUAUUCAGAAGAACCAAUCAUGGAAAUUCCCGGAGCCAAAGUAUUCAAGAGCUCCUCGGGGAACAUUUCAUUGUACUGUUGCAACCUUUUUGAUCUUCCCAGAACAAAUAUUGGCAAAUUUGACAGGAUUUGGGAUAGAGGAGCAUUAGUUGCUGUUAAUCCAGGUGAUCACAAACGCUAUGCGGAUGUAAUGCUGUCCCUGACGAGAAAAGGGUUUCACUACCUCUUGGUUGUGGUUUCUUAUGACCCAACUAAACAUAUAGGUAAAAGUCUUUUUGUUUUUCUUUUUCCAGUUGCUUCGUUUCCUGAUUUAAUUCUGUGACAUGGAUAGCAUUAUUUUCUCCUAAUUUAUCUCAUAGGAAGCAUACUGCUUAUAAACGUGAAGAUAAGUCUAUUUUUGGAUAAUGGAAACUAUCAACAUUUUUUUCUCUUCCCACUCUGUACAUGUUUGUCUCAUAUUCCAUUCCCGUUUUGUUUACCAUUCACAGCUCAAAGUACAAAAGAGAGGGAGAAAUGGAUGGUCCUAAUAUAAAAGAGAAAUCUCAUCAGCCCUGGCUUAGGAGGAAGAGAGAUUUGGUUAUCUUGAUCUGGACAUAGCCUAUUUAUGUCAUCCAUGGUGGUGGGGAUAUGUUGUGCAGAUGCCUAUGAAUACACACACAAACAUAGCCUCAUAAGAUGAUAGGGUGAGAAGUGGACAUGGCAGGUAGGAGGUGUGCAAGAAAAUCUCUAAAUUACAUAUUGCUGUUAUUUAAUUUAUGAAAUUUUAUAAUUUAUUAAUUGCAUUCUUUUAUAACUCUCUUUGUUUUGAAUUUGUGAAAGUGAUGUUUUCUCCUGGACUCAUUUUGAUAUGUUUGAACAUUAAAGUUUAAUCUUUUUUUUUGAGGAAGAUUGGCCCUGAGCUAACGUCUGUUGCCAAUCUUCCUCUUUUUCUUUUUUCUCCCUAAAGCCCCAGUACAUAGUUGUGUAUCCUAGUUGUAGGUCCUUCUAGUUCUUCUAUGUGGGACGCUGCCUCAGCAUGGCUUGAUGAGCGGCCCACCAUUUUUUGUUCCAGAUGCUGAAAUUAAAAGACUAUUUG